rnacentral:rRNA from 1 species
CAGUCGCCGCGGGAAUACGAAGGGGGCUAGCGUUGUUCGGAUUUACUGGGCGUAAAGCGCACGUAGGCGGAUCGAUCAGUCAGGGGUGAAAUCCCAGAGCUCAACUCUGGAACUGCCUUUGAUACUGUCGAUCUGGAGUAUGGAAGAGGUGAGUGGAAUUCCGAGUGUAGUGGUGAAAUUCGUAGAUAUUCGCAAGAACACCAGUGGCGAAGGCGGCUCACUGGCCCGGUACUGACGCUGAGGCGCGAAAGCGUGGGGAGCAAACAGGAUUAGAUACCCGUGUAGUCCCUGUCUCUUAUAA